CUGCUCUACUGGAGUGUAUUUUUGUGAGCCUAGGAUAGGCUUUCACAGAUAUGAUCAAAAAUCAUUUAGGAAUUUCUCCCAGAUGAAAUCAACUUUCUUAGCAUUUAAGAAUGACACUGACGUUAGCAACUGGUUUCAGAUUUCUAUGUGGCAAGCAGAACACCCAGGCCCCUGGCUGGUAGCAAUUGUAGCCAUUCAGAUGGUAAACUAGACAAAGUCACACUGUCCCUUCUAGUCCAGAAGUUGGAUAACAUUCUCCCACAUUCAACAUAUAUUGUUCUUUGAUGUCACGCUGCUGAACUAGCUUGGACAUCAAUACAAAUAUACAACUUGCCACCCAGUUUUCUUGAGCAACCAGGUGUAUGGAUGACAAAGAUGCAAAUUAUGGAUGAAAUUUCAUUCCUAACAUCAUACUCCCCAGCUUUAUGUCAUCUUGAGACACAAACAACCUUGUAAAUUUUCAGAAUUGAUUCUAAAGGUAUUUGUCAAAUUAUAGCUAUUUUUGAACUUCCAAGUAUGACUACAUAAUUUCAUAAUUGAGAUCUGGUGACGAUGACAAAUUACACAAGCUUUACUUGUGAAGCCAAUAGAGUCAUAUGCACACUGACAGAAGUUUGCUGCUUUCCAGUGUAUAUUUCCGGUUUAAAAUAUAUGUUAUCAUAACAGAUAGAGGAAACAUUUUAAAGAAGGGAGUCUGGUUUCCUUUCGUAGCUUCUUACAGCAUGCAUUCUAUAGGCAAAUGGUACAGGAGAAUAGAAAUGCAUUGCAAAGGUUAUGUUUAUAUACACCAUUUCUUCUACGCAACUAAGUGCAUUUCAGUGGUUUUAGUGCAUUACCAAAUGCAAAAAAAUGCAAUACCUUAUUUUUAAGCUCACUUUGUAUAUUAAAUUAAAUUGAGUACAUAAACCCAACAACACGUUGUACUUUUCAGAAACUAUUGAAACAUUCAAUGUUUUGUCCCUUUUUCCUUCAAUAAUCAUUAUAUUAUUGCAUAUUAAAAGCAUGGUACAAAUGAAGAAUGAUGACAAAGGCUGAAGAUUUUAAUUUAUUCAGUAUUUCAUAGGAAAUAACAGACUUCACACUUCUGAACUAAGCAGAAAUGACAAUGCAUGCUGAUGGGUACCUUUAAACUUUUGAAGUAUUCUACACUUUUGUAAGCUGAUUUAAAAAUUAUUCAGUUGGGAAAAUUAAAAAUGUUUAUGCAAUAUUCCAUUAAAAUAAAUAAGGAGAAAAAGGUAUUUUUAUUUUUAUAUAAAUAUUCCUCAGCAUUUUUUCAAAUAUAGCCAUAUCUGAGCAAAUAUCACAAGCAAAUGACAACAAAAUACUGUGUGGUAAUAUUUGGGUUUUAAUUGUCAUGCCAGAGAACCUUUUCAAUGAUAACAGCCCAGAAUUUACGCUGAGAAAGUUUCAUGAAUUUAGAGUUGAAUAAAGUUUUAAAUCUAAAUGAUCCAGUAUCCUCGAAAAAAAAUCAUAUGUUUCAACAUCAGAUAGAUGAAUCUGGUCUGCAAAAUCAGAAGCACAUACUAAACUUGGGCAAUUUUGUAAAUUGCCAAAAAUAAGUAAAUCUUUCUGCACUGCUGUACAGUCAGAACAUGCUUGAACUUUUUUAGUUACUUAUUUUCUAGCUUUUGACAUUUGGAAAUUCAUAUAGAAGCAGGAAAGAAAAAGAAUUUUGUAGCAUAGCAACAUCAAUGUGAUAUAUUUCUAAUCAAAUAGAAUGCAUGACUAAAGAUCAAAAUAGUCUGGUUUUGAUUGGGUAGUAUUCAGUCACAAUUUGUAUUACAGUGUAAUAAAUUCAGAAGUUGAUUAUAUUUGGACAGACAUGUAGAUCAAGAUCUUGCAUACAGUUAUUAUUCUUAUAGAAUUAGUAAACAUUCUUAUAUUAGAAAAAUUAUAAAUCUCAACAGGGAAAUUCAACCUUUCCUUUAUUUUCAUCACAAGAAGAAAGUACUGAGAAUUUUGUGAUUAACUGCUUCAUUGUUGUCAGAAGAGAAAGAAUUAAAAAUUAAUGUUUGAAUGGAAAAAGAAUAAAUUUGUAAGGCAUUACAAUUCACCUGCAAAUUACAUGUAAAUGUUCCAACUUUGUUACUCGUCUUCACAGUCAUCAUACCAGAAAGAAGUAUAAAUUGUUACAGUUUGAUUUAAAAGUAAUGUAUGCAGGGUGAGGUGAGAGAGAGAACACUUCUUUUCUACCAAGAGCUGUUUGAAUCCAUGGAAAUAAAUUUAACUGUUCAACACAAGAUUCCCCAGUUAAUAUAUCUAUGUGCAAUAGACUCCUAGUUAAACGGAAGAAGUGGCUUCUGGACCUUAUUCCCAAUAAUUUAAAAGAUAUUUCUGUGUUUCAGAA